UACAGAGGGGGCAAGCGUUGUUCGGAAUUACUGGGCGUAAAGGGCGCGUAGGCGGCCUGUUAAGUCGGACGUGAAAUCCCUCGGCUCAACCGGGGAACUGCGUCCGAUACUGGCGGGCUUGAAUUCGGGAGAGGGAUGUGGAAUUCCAGGUGUAGCGGUGAAAUGCGUAGAUAUCAGGAGGAACACCGGCGGUGUAGACGGCUUUCUGGACCGUAGCUGACGCUGAGACACGAAAGCGUGGGUAGCAAACAGG
rnacentral:rRNA from 1 species